CAAGCACAGGCAAUGGCACUGGAAGAAUUCACGGGUGACAUUGAUCCAUCCCCGUGGUCUCUUAGUGGCAUCACUGGUGCUGG
rnacentral:pre_miRNA from 1 species